rnacentral:rRNA from 1 species
GACGAACGCUGGCGGCGUGCUUAACACAUGCAAGUCGAGCGCGAAAGGGGGGGGCAACUCCCCCGAGUAGAGCGGCGCACGGGUGAGUAACGCGUGGGUAACCUACCUCCCGGCGGGGGAUAACUACUCGAAAGGGUGGCUAAUACCGCAUGAGACCACGGGGUCUUCGGAUCCUGAGGCCAAAGGUCGCUCCGGCUUGCCGGGGCGGUCACCGGGUGAUGGGCCCGCGUCCGAUUAGCUAGUUGGUGAGGUAACGGCUCACCAAGGCUACGAUCGGUAGCUGGUGUGAGAGGAUGAUCAGCCACACUGGAACUGGAACACGGUCCAGACUCCUACGGGAGGCAGCAGUGAGGAAUAUUGCGCAAUGGGGGAAACCCUGACGCAGCAACGCCGCGUGGGUGAAGAAGGCCUUCGGGUCGUAAAGCCCUUUCGGACGGGACGAACGCUCCGCGGUGACAACCCGCGGAGCCUGACGGUACCGUAAGAAGAAGCACCGGCUAACUCCGUGCCAGCCGCCGCCGUAA